UUUCGAGGCUCUUUCCGGCGAAUCCCCGGCGAGUUAGGAGUUGAGUUUCCGGCGACCUCCGAGGCUUUCGAGGCAGUUUUCCGGCCAAACCACGGCGAACUAGGUGUUGUACAAGGCGAGGCUUGUACGGACGUUGGGCAUAACUAAGGGAGGCUCAGGAACCUACGACACGUCGAUGUAUUCUGUUCAGGAAUCACAAAGGUGUGGUGACUACGAGGAAUUUGACGGUGUUCUGACAGAUUGGACAAAAUUAGGACUCACCUUCGGGUGUAUCAACUUAUAAAUUGUAUCUUAAAGCUUCCGUACUGUGUAAAUGGUUACGUCACUCUCACGUGACGGCCAGCAUGCCCUCCUUCGGGACGGGGUGUGUCACACACACACAUGCACAGUACUACAUAUAUGAUCAAACAUAUUAAA
rnacentral:sRNA from 1 species